AUUGAACGCUGGCGGCAUGCCUUACACAUGCAAGUCGAACGGUAACAGGUCUUCGGAUGCUGACGAGUGGCGAACGGGUGAGUAAUACAUCGGAACGUGCCCGAUCGUGGGGGAUAACGAAGCGAAAGCUUUGCUAAUACCGCAUACGAUCUACGGAUGAAAGCAGGGGACCGCAAGGCCUUGCGCGAACGGGGCGGCCGAUGGCAGAUUAGGUAGUUGGUGGGAUAAAAGCUUACCAAGCCGACGAUCUGUAGCUGGUCUGAGAGGACGACCAGCCACACUGGGACUGAGACACGGCCCAGACUCCUACGGGAGGCAGCAGUGGGGAAUUUUGGACAAUGGGCGAAAGCCUGAUCCAGUCAUGCCGCGUGCAGGAUGAAGGCCUUCGGGUUGUAAACUGCUUUUGUACGGAACGAAAAGACUCUGGUUAAUACCUGGGGUCCAUGACGGUACCGUAAGAAUAAGCACCGGCUAACUACGUG
rnacentral:rRNA from 1 species